GGAGGUUUUGUAGACUGUGUUUGCUGGUUAUCUUCUUUAACGCAGGGGUUGAAGAUAUUCUAUAUAUAACAUGGGCUGGGCUUACUCUUCCAAUGCCACUAAACCAUCAGAAGAUCCAUAAAGAACACAAGAGGUACCAGUAACUGAAGACAUACAUUAGCCCAUGACUGCAUGUGCAAGUGUCUCUACUGCAUGCGGCUCCUUCUGCUCUUCUCCUUGCUCUCAGUGGCAAUGGUGGACUGAAGGAUGCACUGGGAGAAGAGAAGCUUCAAGAGGAUAAUCCAGUUAACAAGAAAAGCGUAGAGAAGUUGACAUGAACAUGACUGACAGUUAUUUCCCUGGAACUCUUCUUGAAAUUGAAAAUGCAACUGAGGGGCACUGCUGCCAGCUGUUACCUUGCUUGCCCUCCACACAGGACCUUGAGCAAGAUUGUUGGUGUGGGGUUUCCUUUUGGCGGGGUUUGCCACCUGCAGUCAGGAUGUUGCCAAGUAAAUACAUUGCCUGUGAUCCUUGGGGGCGAGGCAGCAGUCAGGAUGUUGUGACACCUGUCAAAUGCGUUUUCACUUCUGGGAGGACUAAAAAGCAAAAUCUCUCAUAUCAAUUUUCAGUUGUAUUGGGGAUUUCUCAGGUUUCAAGGUCAUGA
rnacentral:lncRNA from 1 species